AAAGCGUAAAAAUGUGUUUAGCACCUGCAACAUCUCAUAGCCUUGCCUCCGUCUUAAUUGGUGCUAACAGGUCUACCACUGACCUCUCUCGCCUUUGGAAAGUGCGGAUGUUUCUUUCCAUCCAGAUUUUCCAGCCCACCAGAAGUAGCAGGGAGCGGGUCCCCUUUUUCGGCACUGCGGAUGAGUCGAUCACGAGCCACCACUGCUUGAUCGAAGUGGAGUCUGGCCAUGUAGCUGGAGCCAAAGAGUCGAUGGAUAGGCAAGAUGUCAGGGCCUCUGAAAUUCUCCUCGAGUAGCAGCAAUAAUAUUUUAAACCACAAGCUUCACAGUAAAGCUUAAGAGUUAUAUUUUAAUUAUCCAUCCUUUACAAGACUUAUAGAAUAUUGAUAUUUUAAAUAUCACAAUUGCACUAUCUUUUUUUAGAUAACAGUAUAACAUAUAUGUUAUUAUGGUGUUAUGUUUUGUUUGUUGUUGUUGUUGUUGUUGCAACACAUGAACAUUUACAUAGUAUAGGAAAAACAAACGGAAACAAGAAGGUAUGAUAGUCUCCUACUCUUCGUCACCUUCAGUUCUUCAUGACGGCACAUAUCGAUCAUCCAUAUCUGAAGGGUUUUGAGGCGUCCCUGCCCUACGACAUGAAGAUGCAGAAAAGAAGAGCUACCUUGUCACAUGAAUGACAGUAUCAAGUAUUAUUAGCUAGGCAACCAUGGAAACUGCGGUCGUCGUAAUCAAUACUUGUAUAGUUGUAGUCCAUUAGCAGAGACAUACUACUGGCCAUACCAUACCAGAGACAACAGACAUGUUCUGAAACCUUCGUCUCAGAAUCUCACACGAUCUUCGUUCUUAUUCUUUCUUUUUUUUACACAUGCAUGUUCUUCUUAUUCUUCAGCUGUCGAUCUUCGUUCUGCAAGCGGCCACUACUCAGGCGCAAAAUCCUUCUCCGUAUCCCGUCACAUGCGAACGAACGAGUGGCAACAGCGCUUUGCAUAAGAAAACGAGGGCAACUAUCGACAGCGGCAGAAAACAACCGAAUGCUCGGUCUAACUUCCUAGCUCUGAAUUCUGAAUUCUUCAGAAUUCAGAGAUGUCCUAGUAUUCCUUUUUUUUAAAAAAAGAAUCUCAUACUGGGAACCAUAUCGCAGACCAUACUUUUCUCUGGCCGCACAAGAAAACGAAGGCACUACUGUCUAAUCAUGCUUGUUUGUUCAGCCGAGCGACGCUGCUCUUGUUUCCCUGUCAUCUGCUGUAUUCAGGCAGCGACGGCUAGAGCAGAUGAUGACUCAGUCCUACUGUGACCGCAUAGGCCGGCCCGGCCGGUUCUCCCAUCCCAUCCCAUCCCACAUGCGGCACCUUGGUAAACGCGAUUCAAUGGAUCCGUGGUGGGAUCCAACGCGAAGACGCACCUGCAGGUACCUGGGGCAAUGCCGCAAUGGCUUGGCUUGGCUGGCGACCCAUCCCACAUGCUCGCGCGGCUGAUUAUUCUUGCAGCUCGAAAUGCUCCAAGUUGGGGGUGAUUCAAGAACCGGGUAAAAAAAAGAGAGAGGAAGACUCACGGUGCCGGUGCGUGCGUUCGAGUAACAGAUCUGAAUGGUUCAAGAAUUCUUUGACAGCUUCGCCGGCCGUUCAGUCUCGACGAAUGAUAAUUGACCCGGCACAGCCCAUUCCUUCCCUACCGAGGUGAAACCUCUUGCUCAAUGAGGUGGAUGGAUGUGCGAAGAAUUUGGGCCAAGUUUUUGACAAAACGGCGCAUUGAUUUGUUCACGGUUUGCGAUAUUAUACAUAUAAUUGGGUUGGACUUGAGGGGAUCGACAUGAUCUAUGUAAUGUAUGCUCCUCGGGCCGGACGACCUUGUUGUGCUUCUAGACCGAAUUUCAACGUAGGCGUAGUAGUAGACCUCCGGUGAGGUGGUGCUG
rnacentral:lncRNA from 1 species